rnacentral:misc_RNA from 1 species
GAUGAAGAACGCAGCAAAAUGCGAUAAGUAAUGUGAAUUGCAGAAUUCAGUGAAUCAUCGAAUCUCUGAACGCACAUUGCGCCCGCUGGUAUUCCGGCGGGCAUGCCUGUUCGAGCGUCAUUUCAACCCUCAAGCCCCCGGGUUUGGUGUUGGGGAUCGGCUCUGCCCUUCUGGGCGGUGCCGCCCCCGAAAUACAUUGGCGGUCUCGCUGCAGCCUCCAUUGCGUAGUAGCUAACACCUCGCAACUGGAACGCGGCGCGGCCAUGCCGUAAAACCCCAACUUCUGAAUGUUGACCUCGGAUCAGGUAGGAAUACCCGCUGAACUUAAGCAUAUCAAUAAGCGGAGA